UACAUGACAGAGGGUGCACUGCAAAGGAU
rnacentral:piRNA from 1 species